CAGGCCUAACACAUGCAAGUCGAACGAUGCUUUCGGGCAUAGUGGCGCACGGGUGCGUAACGCGUGGGAAUCUGCCCCUUGGUUCGGAAUAACAGCUAGAAAUGGCUGCUAAUACCGGAUGACGACGUAAGUCCAAAGAUUUAUCGCCGAGGGAUGAGCCCGCGUAGGAUUAGCUGGUUGGUGUGGUAAAGGCGCACCAAGGCGACGAUCCUUAGCUGGUCUGAGAGGAUGAUCAGCCACACUGGGACUGAGACACGGCCCAGACUCCUACGGGAGGCAGCAGUGGGGAAUAUUGGACAAUGGGCGCAAGCCUGAUCCAGCCAUGCCGCGUGAGUGAUGAAGGCCUUAGGGUUGUAAAGCUCUUUUGUCCGGGACGAUAAUGACGGUACCGGAAGAAUAAGCCCCGGCUAACUUCGUGCCA
rnacentral:rRNA from 1 species